GACGAACGCUGGCGGCGUGCCUAAUACAUGCAAGUAGAACGCUGAAGGAGGAGCUUGCUUCUCUGGAUGAGUUGCGAACGGGUGAGUAACGCGUAGGUAACCUGCCUGGUAGCGGGGGAUAACUAUUGGAAACGAUAGCUAAUACCGCAUAAGAGUAGAUGUUGCAUGACAUUUGCUUAAAAGGUGCAAUUGCAUCACUACCAGAUGGACCUGCGUUGUAUUAGCUAGUUGGUGGGGUAACGGCUCACCAAGGCGACGAUACAUAGCCGACCUGAGAGGGUGAUCGGCCACACUGGGACUGAGACACGGCCCAGACUCCUACGGGAGGCAGCAGUAGGGAAUCUUCGGCAAUGGACGGAAGUCUGACCGAGCAACGCCGCGUGAGUGAAGAAGGUUUUCGGAUCGUAAAGCUCUGUUGUAAGAGAAGAACGAGUGUGAGAGUGGAAAGUUCACACUGUGACGGUAUCUUACCAGAAAGGGACGGCUAACUACGUGCCAGCAGCCGCGGUAAUACGUAGGUGGCAAGCGUUAUCCGGAUUUAUUGGGCGUAAAGAGAGUGCAGGCGGUUUUCUAAGUCUGAUGUGAAAGCCUUCGGCUUAACCGGAGAAGUGCAUCGGAAACUGGAUAACUUGAGUGCAGAAGAGGGUAGUGGAACUCCAUGUGUAGCGGUGGAAUGCGUAGAUAUAUGGAAGAACACCAGUGGCGAAAGCGGCUACCUGGUCUGCAACUGACGCUGAGACUCGAAAGCAUGGGUAGCGAACAGGAUUAAUACCUAGUAUUCCAGGGGGGAAUCACAUGGAUAUGAGGCUUAUCGAGACCGCCACCUCCAGGGGGGCCGGUCCCGCUUUGUGCCCUUUUAUAGUCGGCAUAUUUUAUAUAUGUAU
rnacentral:rRNA from 1 species